GUACUUGCUUUGGCAGAACAUAUACUAAAAUUGGAACGAUACAGAGAAGAUUUGCAUGGCCCCUGCACAAGGAGGGUCGAUUUACGAAUAUACUUAUCAUUUUGAU
rfam:Phlebotomus papatasi Contig42566.1, whole genome shotgun sequence.